UUUUUUUACCCCUGGAAGGUCAAUUUGGUAAUUUAAUAUCCCGCUUCAAAUAUUCCCGCUCGCGCUUUCCCACUAAUGUGGAACCGCGACGACAGGAGAGGCGACGCCCAUGUCCUCCUCCUCCUCCUCCUCGGUCUUCGCCUCCACUGCUGUAAGAUCCUUCUCUGAUCGCCUCUGGACCCGCGAAGAGAGGAUCUGCUUCUCCCUCCUCCGCGGCGCCUCCCCGUGCCUCUCUCCUCUCCUCCAAAUCCACGCCUUCCUCCUCCGCCAUGGCCUCCUCCACUCUAACCUCCCCCUCCUCACCCGCCUCAUCUCCUCGCUCUCCGCCGCCCCCUCGGCCCUCCGCCACGCUCGCCGUGUCUUUGACCGCCGCGCCGCCCAGGACGACGCCCUCUGCGUCGCAAUGCUCCGCGCCCUCGUCCGUCGCCGCCUCUUCAGCGAUGCCCUCUUCCUCUACCGCGACCUCCGGCGAGGCCCUUCGCCGCCCAAUUGCUCUCCCUUCUCGCCCGAUGAGUACACCUUCCCCUUGCUCCUCAAGUCCGCCGCCGCGCUCUCGGAGGGGCGGAGAGAAGGGGAGCAGCUCCAUACCCAUGUGAUCAAAAUGGGUUUCUUCUGCGACACAUUCGCCUCCACCGCAUUGCUUGAUAUGUACACGAAAGCAGGCGAUAUGGACACUGCUAAGAAGGUGUUCGAUGAAAUGCCUCAUAGAAGCUUAGCAUCAUGGACUUCGAUGGUUGUUGGUUAUGCUAGAUACGGUGAAGUUAGCUCGGCUAUGGAGCUGUUUGCUUUGAUACCUGAUAAGGAUACAGCGGCAUUCAACGCUAUGAUCGAUGUUUUCACCAAAUUGGGCGAUAUGGAAUCGGCCCACCGGCUGUUUGAACAGGUGCCGGAGGGAAAUGUGGUGUCCUGGACUAGUUUGAUAUGUGGGUAUUGCAAGACUGGGAAUACGGAGGCUGCGAGAGACCUGUUUGAUCAAAUGCCCGUAAGAAAUCUCUACUCUUGGAAUGUGAUGAUUGGUGGGUACUGCCAGAAUAGGCAGUCACAGCAGGCUCUGGAUCUUUUCAGAGAACUGCAGUCCAAUUCAUGUCCAUUUGAGCCGGACGCAGUGACGCUUGUGAGCAUCAUCCCUGCAAUCUCCGACAUGGGUGCGAUCGAUCUUGGUCGUUGGAUACACAACUACGCAAAAAGGAAGGGUUUCGACCAGAGGACUAAUAUAGUCACCGCACUCGUUGACAUGUACGCAAAAUGCGGAGACAUCUGCGAGGCAAAGCAUCUGUUCAACCAAUUGCCAAACAAGGAAAUCGCUUCCUGGAAUGCUGUGAUCAAUGGGUUUGCCCUAAAUGGCCUUGCCGAAGAGGCGCUUGACGUGUUUAAUGAAAUGCGGAGGAGAGGGUUCUCCCCAAAUGGCGUGACGAUGAUCGGGGUCCUAUCAGCCUGCGGCCAUGCGGGCCUUGUCGAAGAAGGGAGAAAGUGGUUUAGGGAGAUGGAAAUGUUGGGUGUUUGUAAGAGAGUGGAACAUUACGGUUGCAUGGUGGACCUUUUGGGACGAGGUGGGUAUUUAGACGAAGCCGAGAAGUUGGUCGACGAAAUGCCCUUUGGAGUCAACGGGAUAGUUUUAAGCUCGUUGCUAUUUGCUUGCGGGUGUUACGGGGAUGUUGCGAGGGCAGAGAGGGUGAUGAAGAGGGCAGAAGAGAUUGAACCCGGGAAUGCGAGGAAUUAUGUGAUAAUGAGGAAUCUUUAUGCCGGGAAGAAGCGGUGGGGAGAUGUGGAAAGGGUCAAGGAAGAGGUGAGGAAGUUGGGGGGCAAAAGGGAGGCUGGGUGUAGUGUUGUGGAGGUUGGAAACAGGGUUUGGGAGUUUGUCUCAGGUGACAGAGCUUUUUCUGAUUGGGAGGCUGUGUACAGUUUGUUAAGGUGCCUUCAACUAGAAAUGAAAGGCCAAAGAGAAGAGGAGUGGGAAUCUCAGUUCACUGCUUGUUAAGAAGCUCAUUUCUUUUUCUUCAUUAAUGCUUAAAAUGCACUGGAAAAGAUGAAAAGCACAAGGCCAAGGAGAAUAUGGAGGAGAAAGUAAGGAUUUCAAAUCGCAGAAUACGGCCAGCCAGUUUAGCAGAUGGAUAUUUCAAGCGAUAAGUCGAACAGUUUGUCUGAGAGAAUUGUGCUGAGAUUUGUUCAUUUCAUUUUCAAAAUACACAUGAAAGUCAAUACGCAAAAAUAGAAGAAUAUACACCAGAUUGUUCUGCUCUGAAGAACGCCGCCCCAGGUUCCUUGUGCAGCUCUUUUAACAGAGGGGAUUCAGAUCACAGGGACUGCGCAUUUACCCAUUCUCCCAUCUGGUAAGUUGUGUACCUGUGAUUUUACCCACGCAACUAAUGCGAUUUUACAAUUUUACGAUCUUUUACUUUUCGGUUCAGUUCACAUGCAUAGUACAUGUUCGUCUCCUGGAGCUCGUUAUUAUUAUUAUACGAAAUUAACGUCGAGCAGGUCCGCUAUCAUUAUCUACUUGGAGCUCCUCAUUGCACCGAAAUAAUCAAUAUUGGUACUGAGCAUUUAUAUAUUAUCUGUGCCGUACUAAACUCGGUUGCGAAUCAAUUAAAUGACAAGAGAUAAUGCUCCGUGCACUCUAACGACUAUGGUACACCCAGUUAAGAAGCACCAGGAAACUUUCUACGGGAGAAGCUUCUGUAAGAAGCAAGAGUGGCUUAUUAGCGGGUAUUUGGUUUCUUGAAGAAACAUAAAAAGAUCGUUAUCUAAAAAAAAAAAUUCUAUAAAAAAUUAUUAUUUAAAAAUCAAAUUAGAUAAAAAAUAAUUUUACAGCUAGAAAAUUAUUUUCCUUUUAAAGAAUACUCUCAACUAAUAACCUUCCCAGCCCCCCCCCCGCACGGUUAAACUCGUUUGAAAUGUAUGACAUCAUGACACGUGGCAUCUCCAGUUGGUUCAAAGAAUAAUAAAUAAAUAAAUAAAUAAAUAAAUAAAUAAAUAAAAGUUUCUUACAUUGGGGUUUUCGCGGUCCUCAAAAUAUCGCACCUGGUGUACGCUUACCGACCGUGGGCGGUGAUUUUAACCACUCUAAUGAUGUUGGUGUACGCCCUCUUCAAAGAAACCGUAUUUCGUAACACGGGCCACGAGGCGCGUGUACGGUUAUGUCACCGGGACCCCGGGAAGCGGUGACACUAAAUACCCCUCUCUCCUCGACGAACACGCUCCCAUGCUCUCUCCUCUACCACAGGUCCACACUCGUCGCCCCUCUCGGACGAGGAAGAGAGGUUGGGGGAAAAAGAAUCCCCUCGUCCCCGCUCGAUUCCGAUCGAAGAGGAGCCCUAAAUUCUAGAAGGAUUGGGGCGAUAAUGGCGAUUCAACUGUCGAAGGCCGUUUCUCUCCUCCUCGUCGUCGUCGUCUUCGUCCUCUCAAUCCAAGCCUCGUCCUCGAUCCCCUUCAUUGUCUUGCAUGGAAUUGGGGAUCAGUGCGUGAACAAAGGGGUGACGCAGUUCACGGAGCUUCUGAGCGAGUGGUCUGGCUCUAAGGGAUACUGCUUGAUUCUGCUCUGAUGACUUGGAAUGGAUUAACCAGUAUCC